rnacentral:rRNA from 1 species
GACGGGGGGGGCAAGUGUUCUUCGGAAUGACUGGGCGUAAAGGGCGCGUAGGCGGUUCGUACAGUCAGACGUGAAAUUCCUGGGCUCAACCUGGGGCUGCGUUUGAUACGUGCGGACUUGAGUGCGGAAGAGGGUCGUGGAAUUCCCAGUGUAGAGGUGAAAUUCGUAGAUAUUGGGAAGAACACCGGUGGCGAAGGCGGCGACCUGGUCCGAUACUGACGCUGAGGCGCGAAAGCGUGGGGAGCAAACAGG